ACUCCUACGGGAGGCAGCAGUGGGGAAUAUUGGACAAUGGGCGCAAGCCUGAUCCAGCAAUGCCGCGUGAGUGAUGAAGGCCUUAGGGUUGUAAAGCUCUUUUACCCGGGAUGAUAAUGACAGUACCGGGAGAAUAAGCUCCGGCUAACUCCGUGCCAGCAGCCGCGGUAAUACGGAGGGAGCUAGCGUUAUUCGGAAUUACUGGGCGUAAAGCGCACGUAGGCGGCUUUGUAAGUAAGAGGUGAAAGCCCAGAGCUCAACUCUGGAAUUGCCUUUUAGACUGCAUCGCUUGAAUCAUGGAGAGGUCAGUGGAAUUCCGAGUGUAGAGGUGAAAUUCGUA
rnacentral:rRNA from 1 species